CUUAAAAAUGCUACUCCUUCUACAGUUUUGGUCUGAUUUCAAUAUUACUUGGCACACAAGUAGACUACACUAAGAUACAUAGAAUAGUGCAUCGAUUUUUGAUUUCGAUGAAUGGUGUUGCCAUGGUUACUAAAAAUAGAAUUUUCUGUGAAAUUCCUUUAAAACGCUACUCCUUCUACAGUUUUGGUCUGAUUUCAGUAUAACUUGGCACACAAGUAGACUACACUAAGAUACAUAGAAUAGUGCAUCGGUUUUUGAUUUCGAUGAACGGUGUUGCCAUGGUUACUAAAAAUAGAAUUUUCUGUGAAAUUCCUUAAAAAUGCUACUCUUUCUACAGUUUUUGUCUGAUUUCAGUAUAACUUGGCACACAAGUAGACAACACUAAGAUACAUAGAAUAGUGCAUCGAUUUUUGAUUUCAAUGAAGGGUGUUGCCAUGGUUACUAAAAAUAGAAUUUUCUGUGAAAUUCCUUUAAAACGCUACUCCUUCUACAGUUUUGGUCUGAUUUCAAUAUAACUUGGCACACAAGUAAACUACACUAAGAUACAUAGAAUAGUGCAUUGGUUUUUGAUUUUGAUGAAGGUUGUUGCCAUGGUUACUAAAAAUAGAAUUUUUUGUGAAAUUCCUUAAAAAUGCUACUCCUUCUACAGUUUUUGUCUAAUUUCAAUAUAACUUGGCAGACAAGUAGACUACACUAAGAUACAUAGAAUAGUGCAUCGGUUUUUGAUUUCGAUGAAAGGUGUUGCCAUGGUUACUAAAAAUAAAAUUUUCUGUAAAAUUCCUUAAAAACGCUACUCCUUCUACAGUUUUUGUCUGAUUUCAGUAUAACUUGGCACACAAGUAGACUACACUUAGAUACAUAGAAUAGUGCAUUGGUUUUUGAUUUAGAUGAACGGUGUUGCCAUGGUUACUAAAAAUAGAAUUUUCUGUGAAAUUCUUUUAAAACGCUAAUCCUUCUACAUUUUUGUCUGAUUUCAAAAUAAGUUGGCACACAAGUAGACUUCACAAAGAUACAUAAAAUAGUGCAAUGGUUUUUGAUAAGUACAAACCAGUAGAGCUACAGUCUCGACAGAGACUUCUGGUUUUUAUUAAAAUCAUACUAUAGUAUUACUGUAGUUGCAAGAAAGAUUCUCAGGUAUGUUAAUAUUUUCCGAUACAUGUUGUAAUUUACUGUCAAUAUAUGAUAAACAAUGGUAUUUUUAGGUUAUACACAUGCAGGCUUUUGUUAAAUUUAAGGGUUUUCAUUUAUACAUACACAUGCAUACAUUGUUAUUUCAGGAGGCAUUAAAUAAAUGCUCGUAUUUAGCCGAGUUAUCUGAA